AGUGAACGCUGGCGGUAGGCCUAACACAUGCAAGUCGAACGGCAGCACAGUAAGAGCUUGCUCUUACGGGUGGCGAGUGGCGGACGGGUGAGGAAUACAUCGGAAUCUACUUUUUCGUGGGGGAUAACGUAGGGAAACUUACGCUAAUACCGCAUACGACCUACGGGUGAAAGCAGGGGAUCUUCGGACCUUGCGCGAUUGAAUGAGCCGAUGUCGGAUUAGCUAGUUGGCGGGGUAAAGGCCCACCACGGCGACGAUCCGUAGCUGGUCUGAGAGGAUGAUCAGCCACACUGGAACUGAGACACGGUCCAGACUCCUACGGGAGGCAGCAGUGGGGACUAUUGGACAAUGGGCGCAAGCCUGAUCCAGCCAUACCGCGUGGGUGAAGAAGGCCUUCGGGUUGUAAAGCCCUUUUGUUGGGAAAGAACAGCAGCAGGUUAAUACCCCGCUGUUCUGACGGUACCCAAAGAAUAAGCACCGGCUAACUUCGUG
rnacentral:rRNA from 1 species